ACCAGAAGGUUUUGGGCCGAAACC
rnacentral:siRNA from 1 species